AAAAAAAAGAAGAGAAACGAGAGAGACGUGUAAAUAAUUGUGGUUUUUACAAUAUGGUAAAAUUAUAAACAAAUGGAAAAAUAUCCUUUAUAGGAUGUCAUUUACAAAGAAUCAGUCAGCACACAUAACUCACAUUUGGAUACACUUUGUUAAAAAAGGCUUGCUAAGAAUAAUCAGUGGAGUGGGCCGAAUAGUAUUGAAAUUAAACAAAUGCAAACCUGUUGUUUAUGUGAGAACAUUGGCCAAAUCUAAAGGAGAACAGAACAUUUUCUACCAUAAGAAAGGCCUACAGAGACAUAUAAAAAGAAAAAAAAAAUUUAAAACCAACAAUUCAAAAAAAAAAGGAAUUUUUAAAUCACCUGUAAUUUAUGAACAUAAAUCUUUUCUUGGUUACCUAAAUUUGUGACGUUUAUUCUUUUUAACUUUAUACCAGGAUGUAUAGCAGAACCUAAAAUAAAGAAUUUUAAUGUCUGACUACGGAGAAUUUUCGAAUGAUAUUUGAGACAGAAAAAAUAAAACAAUAUUCUUUUGGCCCCAAAAUUUGAUACCGUAAUUUCAAAUCAAUUUUAUCAACUUAUGUUGUGGUAUUCAAAAAAACCAAAAACUAAAAAAAUAUGAGGAAAUAAGGAUGGGAUUUUUUUUUUCCUUACUUAUGGAAACAUUAACUUUUAGUCCUAACUUACUUAUUUUUUAAUAUUUUUUUUUUUUUAUUGUAGAAUGUCUAAAUAUCUGUGAGAGUAGACUAUACAGAAGUCAAUGAUGGAGGUGGAGGAAAUUAUUUUAAGAAAUCAUGAGCAUUAUUUACAUUAGAUGGUGAAAAAGUUUAUUAGUUUUUAAUAUUUUAAUAAUAUUGAAAAGAAAAAGAAGAUUGAAUGACCAUACUCCUCAAUAUAGAUACAAUUAAAUACAAUUAUGUAUUCCAAAUAUUCAGAAUCCCAAUACAAUAUGCAUUAAAACCGAAGUAAUGAUAUUUCAACUUUAUUUGUAUUCAACUUGGCGUACAAGAGAAAAUAAUGAUUUUACAUAAAGAAACCAAUAACAAACAAAAAAUUGUACGAACUACAGCUAUAGGUCAAACUGAAGAUCAAAAUCAAAAUAGUUUGGAACGAAAUAGAUGUAAAAUGAAGUGCGAAGAAACAGAUUAAUUACAUAGCUGAAAAAAACAGAAAGAUAUAAUGGAAGUAAAACAAGAUUUCAUUUUGUAUAAAAUGUUCAAUCCAAGGAUAUAAGCCAUUGUAAAUUACAGGAAUUCUUGGAGAAUGGUUAAUGCAACUGUUAAGCAGUCAGUGAGACGGCUAAGCACAACGACAAUAUGAAACGCAACAUAAUAAAAAAUUUAAUUGAAAAUUGUUAAUUCUCAAGAUAGUUUCCAGUCCAACAUAGGAAUUGACCACAUUACUUUUUUUCAAACGGUAUUGAAAUAAUCAACCAUAGUCUUUAUAGACUUAAAAAAUUAAUAGCAAAAGAGCUAUGGAAUCUGUCUUCAGGCCUAUAUAGUUACCUCCAGCUCAGUAUAUUUAAGAAAAGAAAUUUUUAAAAAUUUUUGAAAAAUCAACAUUAAUAUAAAAUUUAUUUAAAAUAUUAAAAUUUUUUCGACGACACUUGCAUUAUAAUGUGGGGGAACUAGUUCGUGCUAUA